AACAACGCUGGCGGCGUGUCUUAAGCAUGCAAGUUGAGCGGCAAGGAGGAGAGAUCCUCCCUAGAGCGGCGGACUGGUGAGUAACGCGUGGGUAAUCUAUCUUAGGCAGUGGGGAUAGUCACUAGAAAUAGUGGGUAAUACCGAAUAAGUUCCAUAAGGGGAGGACUUAUGGAAGAAAGGUGCUACGGCACUGGCCUUAGGUGAGCUCGCGUCCCAUUAGCUAGUUGGUGAGGUAAAGGCCCACCAAGGCGAUGAUGGGUAGCCGGCCUGAGAGGGUGUACGGCCACACUGGGACUGAGAUACGGCCCAGACUCCUACGGGAGGCAGCAGCUAAGAAUAUUCCGCAAUGGACGGAAGUCUGACGGAGCGACGCCGCGUGGAUGAAGAAGGCCGAAAGGUUGUAAAGUUCUUUUGCUAGGGGAGAAUAAGUGUGGGAGGGAAUGCCUGCACGAUGACAAGGACUAGCGAAUAAGUCCCGGCCAACUACGUG
rnacentral:rRNA from 1 species